AGAGAAGAGAAGAGAAGAGAAGAGAAGAGAAGAGAAGAGAAGAGAAGAGAAGAGAGGAAGAAGGAAAAAAGCUAAACUCCCCUUAAAGUUGCCCAAUGCUGCCUUCUAGAUACAGGCCAGGCUGGGAAGAGAAUGCAUCCUUCCAGACCCAAGCACACUGUUGGAGCCUUAACCCCCAGGGCAGCUGCACUGGAAACUUCACCUCUGAGGAAGCAAUUAAGACUUCUUCAGAGGAAGGACCCUGGGAAGGCAGAACAGUUUCCCAAACCAGAAAAAGAGCCCUGACAAGAUCCUGACUAACCUGGAACAUGAAGUCUUCAGAACUAUGAAAAAAAAAAAACUGCUUUCUUUAAGCCACUCAGUCUGUGAUAAUCGUGAAUCUGAAGCUCGGGAAUGCUGCUCAUUAGGAAUGACUUACAUAACGCAGGGGCAAAAAAUAUCCUCUGUAGCCCAGGGUGGCCUGAAACACUGCUGUAGUCCAGGCUGACCUCAGGCUCAUACCAUUCCCCCUGUCAGCUGCCAGGGGUUGGAAUCGCA
rnacentral:lncRNA from 1 species